UGUUUUUAUGUGUUUUUAUAUCUUUAAGCAAUUUUAAAAUUUUGUAUAUUUUCAUCUAGUAUUAUUAAAAAUAAGUACCUAGUGUACUGUACGAAAAAACAGCCUGUAUCACAUUAAAAGCAAUCAAGAGAAAUUAAAAUCAGAGUUAGGAUUGAUAAGUAACAUUUAUCCUAGCACCUUUCAAGAUUAUACACAGCUCCACACUCAGUUUGUGGACAGCCUGGGCUCACUAGGCCUUGUGUCAAAAGAAAGUGUGAAAACAAAGAAAAGCUGAACACAUCCCUUCAACACAAGAGGAAUUGUAAGAAUAUGUAUUUUUGUUGAAAUUUUAGGUUAUCUACUAAUAUUUCAUCAUUUGUGAUUCUCAAACGUAAUUUGAUUUUUUUGUUGGACAAUAAGAUAGUCAAAUACCAGAUCUACGAAAUGAACAUAAGGAUUGCAGCUUAAGGUGAAUGUAAUUUAACAGUGAUAUGUUCUCUAGAAGUGGGGUGUUGUAUUAUAAAUUAAAAAAAAGAAACAAGUUGCCUUCUUGUAGACAUACUUUAGUUCAUACUAAAAUAGAUAAGAAAUUCCUGAUUAUGCAUAUUUUGUGUCAUUAGGAAGUUAAUACUUUUGUAUCAUAAUAUGUAUUAUUUUACAGUAAUAAUUGAAGAUUUGUGCAAGUUAAUUAAACUAUACAUGCUUGGAAAUUGCCACAUGGGACCAUCUUGAUGAACAGUUUAUGUAAACAGAAAACAUGUUCAGGAAGAAUGUUAAAAUUUUAACACUUGUAAAUAGAAAGAAGAUGCCAUUUGCCUGUCUUUGUACUUUAUGAGGGUAUUUGCAAAUAAGCAUAAAAACAAGAAGAAGAUAUUAAAGAGACAUUUUGUGCCAGGACAUCAUGGUAGUGCUGGACUGCCUAUCCAACUCUGUAUAAAGGUUUUUCAAACAAUUUGUGAGGAGUGUUCGUAUCUCCAGAGUCUUCUGCUUCAGCAGAGAGUAGUGCAUUAACUAAUGGAAAAGAGAAGAUAAAAGUUCUGGUGCUCAUGAUGACUAGUCCGAACCUGCAAACUGCUGAGAAAAUUUACAUUCCUGAAAACUAGAGGUGGUUGCCGAAUUGAAUAGCCGUUGGUUCUACAGCCACUAUAAUGAUCUGAAAAGUUGAAUAUUUUUCAUGAACACUUUCAGGAAUCAUAAUAGAACUCAACUAAUUAGAUAGAGACUGGAAUGUUGAUUUGAAGACAAUUACUUUUAUAAAGAUUUUCUCAUUGCUGCUUUUGCAUUAACCCAAGAAGUGGAGAUAUUACUACAUGGAGAAGAACUGUAUGAUUGAAUUGACUUUGGAAUCGUCUCAGUGUUGUCAUAAGUAUGAAGUGUAUUUCAUGGUACUUUUGAAGUUAGUUGUAGAAUUUUUUUCAAUUGAUUUUUCUAUUUUUCAAAGGGUUUAAGUAAUAUGUAGCAUAGUCUGACUUGAGUGGUAACAUUUUUAGAAAUAUACCAGGUACUGUUAGGACUGUAUUGUGUGAAGAUUUACUUUUAUAGUGCAUGCCAAAGUUUUGGGGUUUUCUGGUACAUUUUAUUGUAUUUUAUUUAUAAAUAUUAUAAGAGCAGCUGAUUAUGGGUUGAGAUGAUAAUAUUACAGUUAUGUGUCAAAAUUCUAUUACUUUGAACUACAUUGGCUAGGUAUAUCAAGUCUACAUUUGAUUAAAUGUAGACUUAGCAGGAUUAAUGAAUAUGGCCAUUGAAACUAAAGGAAUUUUAGUCAACAUUCCUCUCAUUUGUGUAUUUAUAUAUGUAUGUACGUAUGUAUGUAUGUAUUUAUUUAUUUAUUUAUUAUCAAAUCAUCAUGCUGUUCAUUUCUGCUCAUUGUUUGAGUUUCCAUGCUAAUUAUUUGUUAUUCAUAAGUACAUUUGUAAAUAAGUCUAUAAGCAGGUCAUCAUGUAUGUCAGAUAAAAUACUGUGUUUUCUACUCUCUGUUUUAUUACUAAGUUGUAUAUAAAUUAUGCAUUAAAUACAAAAUAUUCUCUCUCUUA
ensembl:processed_transcript Snhg14 small nucleolar RNA host gene 14